rnacentral:lncRNA from 1 species
AAAGAAGAGAGACCAAAGCGUGUUACUCACGUGCCAGAUGGCGAAGAAGAUGAGCGCAGCGCACAGCACCAGAGACAGCAUGUAGCAGAACGCAGCGAAAGUGAAGGCCAUGGCCGGCGGACCCCAAUCCCGCCACACACGCCAAGAAGCCCCUAGGAGCCCGAUGCCUCCCUAGAGGACCGCACUCCCUCAAAGGAGCCGCGUCUGCACGCUCCUCUCCAGGCUAGUGCCCAGGAGGGCGCACAGCUAGCGGAGCGACUCGAGGGUCAGCGAAUAAGCGCUGGAUUCCCGCAGGCUCCGGCGACGCCAGACCCGGCCCUCCGGCGAAGACAGGAAAACGUGUGUCGAGAGUCGCUGGCGGGAACCGUCCGCAAAUCGAAGAAGAAACCAAAUCAGCAGCGAACACCUGCAAAUUAGUGCCAAGCUGUGAGCCCCUCGAGACCAACACGACAAACGAUGCGACGACUCCACGGAGGACCGAGGGAGGAGGUCCCGUUCGCCCCAGGAAGAGCUCUCUGCUUUUCUCCACUAAACCGCUGAGGAGAGACGAGCGCUCCGCUCCGGGGCGCAAACGGAUAGUGUCCAGCGAGGUGCCCGAGCGGCCUCCGAGCUCCUCCCAAAUCCCAGAGCCGGCAGCGCUCUUUCCCGAGAGAAGGAGUCUUUAGGUAGCCGGGAGGAGGUAGGUCCCGUUGGUCCUGCGCCCCAGACGCGGCUUCCAGCGCAGCCGUGCGCUCCGAGGCGCGCCCGUCCCCAACCGUGACUCCGGCCAGCCGGCCUCCGCAACCCAAGUGUCCCGGAAACCGGGGGUCGGACCGGGGCGAGCACUGGCUCCACCCAACGGGCCAACUCCAGCCCGGGUGGGUGCAGCAGUUGGUUGCAGGCCAAACGCUGUAGCUCGCUCCACCUGCUGCUGCCGCUGCCGCCGCCGCCGCCUUUGCCACUGCGAGAACUGUAGCGGUGCGACCCGGGAUUCCCUCCUCUCGGCGCCCCACCCUCGACUCCUGUUCCGCUGAGCGCGCCCUCCCCGGCGGGCGGAGACUGCAGCGCCGGCGGCUGAGGAAAAGGGACUCUUUAAACACGUGCGUCUGGAGGAGGUGGGAAGCUGCGGAAGGGUAUCCAUCCGACCUUGGGACUAGGGAAACGUGGACUUGGUGGGCUAUUCUGCGCUGAAGAGGCAGCAACGAGGGCUCGGUGGUAUUGGUGUUGGUCCUAGUGGAAUUGUCAAGAGGAUGCUUUUGGAGGUAGACCGUUUUCUAGCUGCAAGUUACCUAACCUCUUUAAUCCUUAGUUUCCUUAUCAGAAAAACUUAAAUAAG